rnacentral:rRNA from 1 species
UACGUAGGGCGCAAGCGUUGUCCGGAAUUAUUGGGCGUAAAGAGCUCGUAGGCGGUCUGUCGCGUCUGCCGUGAAAACCCGAGGCUUAACCUCGGGCUGGCGGUGGAUACGGGCAGACUAGAGGUAGGUAGGGGAGAAUGGAAUUCCCGGUGUAGCGGUGAAAUGCGCAGAUAUCGGGAGGAACACCGGUGGCGAAGGCGAGUCUCUGGGAUGAUGCUGACGCUGAGGCGCGAAAGCCAGGGGAGCAAACGGG